AGGUGCAUGGCUCAGUGGUUAGAGCAUUUGGUUCAUAAUCAUGAGGUAGUGAAUUUGAUUCCUGAACCUG
rnacentral:tRNA from 1 species